rnacentral:rRNA from 1 species
CACGUAGGGCGCAAGCGUUGUCCGGAAUUAUUGGGCGUAAAGAGCUCGUAGGCGGUUUGUCACGUCUGCUGUGAAAACUCGGGGCUUAACCCCGAGCUUGCAGUGGAUACGGGCAGACUAGAGGUAGGUAGGGGAGAAUGGAAUUCCCGGUGUAGCGGUGAAAUGCGCAGAUAUCGGGAGGAACACCCGUGGCGAAAGCGGCUCACUGGGUCUUUUCUGACGCUGAUGCACGAAAGCUAGGGGAGCAAACGGG